rnacentral:rRNA from 1 species
CCACGGGAGGCAGCAGUGAGGAAGAGUGGGCAAGGGGCGUAAGCCGGAACCAGACAAGGCGCGUGAGGGAGGAAGGUUCUAUGGAUCGUAAACCUCUUUUAUAAGGGAAUAAAGUGUGGGACGUGUCCUAUUUUGUAUGUACCUUAUGAAUAAGGAUCGGCUAACUCCGUGCCAGCAGCCGCGGUAAUACGGAGGAUCCGAGCGUUAUCCGGAUUUAUUGGGUUUAAAGGGUGCGUAGGCGGCCUUUUAAGUCAGCGGUGAAAGUCUGUGGCUCAACCAUAGAAUUGCCGUUGAAACUGGGGGGCUUGAGUAUGUUUGAGGCAGGCGGAAUGCGUGGUGUAGCGGUGAAAUGCUUAGAUAUCACGCAGAACCCCGAUUGCGAAGGCAGCCUGCCAAGCCAUGACUGACGCUGAUGCACGAAAGCGUGGGGAUCAAACAGGAUUAGAUACCCGUGUAGUC